CUAUCACUUCCAUAGAAAUGUCAAUGCAUUGAUUAAAGGAAAACUUUAAGCACCAUAACUAUUACAGCCCACCCCGCUCUAGUGGUUUUCAUGCCAGGUGUGCCCUGGCAUGUUCCCAGGGUUCGUAGUCAAAUCACUUGUGAAGCUAGAAGCCCCUGCAAGAAGUAUCCGUUAGCCCUAUUGUGCUAAGCCCUGCCAUGCACAGUUGGCUCAUUGGUUUAGUGCUUCAG